UACGUAGGGUGCAGGCGUUAAUCGGAAUUACUGGGCGUAAAGCGUGCGCAGGCGGUUCGUUGUGUCUGAUGUGAAAGCCCCGGGCUCAACCUGGGAAUGGCAUUGGAAACUGGCGAGCUAGAGUGUGGCAGAGGGGGGUGGAAUUCCGCGUGUAGCAGUGAAAUGCGUAGAGAUGCGGAGGAACACCGAUGGCGAAGGCAGCCCCCUGGGCUGACACUGACGCUCAGGCACGAAAGCGUGGGGAGCAAACAGG
rnacentral:rRNA from 1 species